GUCCCACCACCAUCAUCUCCAUCGCCCCGACCAACACCAAGAUCUAUCACCGCCACCACAGCCAGCACCACCAUCUCCGUUACCUCCGCCACUAGUAUCAGCAGAUUUUCCAUGAUUUGUGUUCGAUUUCAAAACAGUUUCAGAGAUCGGUUUGAUUUUUUAUUUUCGAUUUAGUAAUUUCGAGUUGAGAUUCGGAUUUCGGAUGGAGUUUUUAGUUAAAGAUUCGGAUUCAGUGAUUUGAGCUCGAGAUUUGUUGAUUCUGAUACUGGUAAAGUUCAAUUUUUAGGUUUAGGUUUUGAAAUUUGUGAAAACUAAAAAAUUGGGUUACAUAUUUGAUUAAAAUCAAUAUUUGAUUUAUAUUUGGGAGUUUGAGAGAGAGAUUUAGGUUUCAAUUUUGUGUUCCAUUUAUCUAAAUUAGUUUAUGGUGGUGGUGGUGGUUAAAUUGAUGAAGCUAGAGUUAGGUGUUUUGAAGCUACUGAUGGUGUUGUUAGUGCAUUACUUUUCAGUACAUACUGGUGGUGGUGUUGGUAUAUCAAGAUGUAACAGGAGGUGGUGGAUGCUAGAUGGUAGUAGGGUGGUGGUGGAUAGUAUAUGCUAUACAGAAGGGACUUAAUAUGUUUCUCGUUUGAAACAAAUUGCUGAACUAAGGUGCCUGUUGGUAGGGAUACUCUUGGUAGAACUAUGAACUUUAUUGGAGAGGCUAUUGACGAGAAGGGCGAUAUCAGCCCACUUUCGAAAGAGGUUACUAAGCUCGGCUGAAGAAGUAUGUUUGCCACCAUCACACAUUUUCUCAGUUGACAAAUCCAGGUAAUGAGUUUGAACCGUUUCCUGAGCUAGUACCUCUGUUGCAUCUAAAGUGCAGGUAAGUCAAGCAAAUUAAGUUUCAACUUUCAACUUUCCAACUCUUAAGUUUCAACAGUUCACAUUUAAAUGCAGAAUUACUAUCGUAACAUUUGUAUAAUUUUGAAGCAGAUAUAAACUAGGCUUUCUGAUCUUGUAUACUGUUUUCGGAAACAACUUGUGCUAGUUGCCUCCAGAUUUGGAACCAACUUCUGCUAGUUGCCUCCAGAUUUGGAGACAACUUGGGCUAGUUGCUUUAUUCUUGUAUAAUUUUGAAGCAGAUAAAAACUGGGCUCUCAUCCUGUAUAAUUUUUUCGGAUACAACUUGUCCCAGUUGCUUUCAGAUUUGGAGCCAACUUAUGUCGGUUGCUUCUGUAUUUGGAGCCAACUUCUGCCAGUUGCUAAAAGCUUGGAAAUGAAUGCAGGGCAAUGGAUUAUGGAGCUUCUGAAGUGCAGUUGGUAGCAGAUGUUGGCUCAUGUUACAGUAGAUGAAUCAGUCAUUGAUGCUCUUCUGUUUUGAAUACUUGGAAAUGAAUGCAGCAGUAAGUAAUUAUCCCGUCCCAUUUUUCCGAUGAAACAUUACAAACAACUAACUAUUAAAUAACUUCUUGAAUGCUAAAAGCUUAGGUCUUGUUUAUCACAGUUCUUCUCUCAAUUUUUGUAUCUAUUAGGUUUAGACUUUAGGAUGUUCUGUUUAUAUGAAACUUGUUGUUGUUGAAAUUAUGUCUCUAUGUCUCGUCAAUAGAACCAAAUUCUUUAGAAGCUUUGUUUGAGUGGAUUUUGUGUUUACAUUUUUGUUCUUUGCUUCUUACGAAGUGAUUUCAGGUUGUGAAGGAAAUAGUUUGUUGGUUAAAAUGUUUGGUCUAUAUUACUAAUUAUCUGUUUAUUCUAUUGAAUGUGAUUUUGAUAUGUUGUUUUGUAUUGCCGAAUCUGUGGUGCACUGGUAGCACAACUAAAUAUAUGUCAGGAGAUGUGUGU